rnacentral:rRNA from 1 species
UACAUGGGGUGCAAACGUUGCUCGGAAUUAUUGGGCGUAAAGCGCACGUAGGCGGUUUGUUAAGUCGGAUGUGAAACCCCUCGGCUCAACUGAGGAAGUGCAUCCGAAACUGGCAAGCUUGAGUACGAAAGAGGGUCGCGGAAUUCCCGGUGUAGAGGUGAAAUUCGUAGAUAUCGGGAGGAACACCGGUGGCGAAGGCGGCGACCUGGGUCGAUACUGACGCUGAGGUGCGAAAGCGUGGGGAGCAAACAGG